rnacentral:rRNA from 1 species
AGUGAACGCUGGCGGUAGGCCUAACACAUGCAAGUCGAACGGCAGCACAGUAAGAGCUUGCUCUUACGGGUGGCGAGUGGCGGACGGGUGGGGAAUACAUCGGAAUCUACUUUUUCGUGGGGGAUAACGUAGGGAAACUUACGCUAAUACCGCAUACGACCUACGGGUGAAAGCAGGGGAUCUUCGGACCUUGUGCGAUUGAAUGAGCCGAUGUCGGAUUAGCUAGUUGGCGGGGUAAAGGCCCACCAAGGCGACGAUCCGUAGCUGGUCUGAGAGGAUGAUCAGCCACACUGGAACUGAGACACGGUCCAGACUCCUACGGGAGGCAGCAGUGGGGAAUAUUGGACAAUGGGCGCAAGCCUGAUCCAGCCAUACCGCGUGGGUGAAGAAGGCCUUCGGGUUGUAAAGCCCUUUUGUUGGGAAAGAAAAGCAGCAGGUUAAUACCCCGCUGUUCUGACGGUACCCAAAGAAUAAGCACCGGCUAACUUCGUG